rnacentral:rRNA from 1 species
ACGUAGGGCGCAAGCGUUGUCCGGAAUUAUUGGGCGUAAAGAGCUCGUAGGCGGUUUGUCGCGUCUGCCGUGAAAACCCGAUGCUUAACAUCGGGCUUGCGGUGGGUACGGGCAGGCUAGAGUGCGGUAGGGGUGACUGGAAUUCCUGGUGUAGCGGUGGAAUGCGCAGAUAUCAGGAGGAACACCGAUGGCGAAGGCAGGUCACUGGGCCGUUACUGACGCUGAGGAGCGAAAGCAUGGGGAGCAAACAG